UACGUAGGGGGCUAGCGUUGUCCGGAAUUAUUGGGCGUAAAGAGCGUGUAGGCGGUCCGGUAAGUCAGCUGUGAAAGUCAAGGGCUCAACCCUUGAAUGCCGGUUGAUACUGUCGGGCUAGAGUCCGGAAGAGGCGAGUGGAAUUCCCGGUGUAGCGGUGAAAUGCGCAGAUAUCGGGAGGGACACCAAUGGCGAAGGCAGCUCGCUGGGACGGUACUGACGCUGAGACGCGAAAGCGUGGGGAGCAAACAGG
rnacentral:rRNA from 1 species